rnacentral:rRNA from 1 species
CUAACACAUGCGAGUCGAGCGGUAACAGGGGUAGCUUGCUACCCGCUGACGAGCGGCGGACGGGUGAGUAAUGCAUAGGAAUCUGCCCGGUAGUGGGGGAUAACCUGGGGAAACCCAGGCUAAUACCGCAUACGUCCUACGGGAGAAAGGGGGCUCCGGCUCCCGCUAUUGGAUGAGCCUAUGUCGGAUUAGCUAGUUGGUGAGGUAAUGGCUCACCAAGGCGACGAUCCGUAGCUGGUCUGAGAGGAUGAUCAGCCACAUCGGGACUGAGACACGGCCCGAACUCCUACGGGAGGCAGCAGUGGGGAAUAUUGGACAAUGGGCGAAAGCCUGAUCCAGCCAUGCCGCGUGUGUGAAGAAGGCCCUCGGGUUGUAAAGCACUUUCAGCGAGGAAGAACGCCUAGUGGUUAAUACCCACUAGGAAAGACAUCACUCGCAGAAGAAGCACCGGCUAACUCCGUGCCAGCAGCCGCGGUAAUACGGAGGGUGCAAGCGUUAAUCGGAAUUACUGGGCGUAAAGCGCGCGUAGGUGGCUUGAUAAGCCGGUUGUGAAAGCCCCGGGCUCAACCUGGGAACGGCAUCCGGAACUGUCAAGCUAGAGUGCAGGAGAGGAAGGUAGAAUUCCCGGUGUAGCGGUGAAAUGCGUAGAGAUCGGGAGGAAUACCAGUGGCGAAGGCGGCCUUCUGGACUGACACUGACACUGAGGUGCGAAAGCGUGGGUAGCAAACAGGAUUAGAUACCCUGGUAGUCCACGCCGUAAACGAUGUCGACCAGCCGUUGGGUGCCUAGCGCACUUUGUGGCGAAGUUAACGCGAUAAGUCGACCGCCUGGGGAGUACGGCCGCAAGGUUAA